rnacentral:rRNA from 1 species
GGUGCUUGCACCUUUCAAGCGAGUGGCGAACGGGUGAGUAACACGUGGAUAACCUGCCUCAAGGCUGGGGAUAACAUUUGGAAACAGAUGCUAAUACCGAAUAAAACUUAGUAUCGCAUGAUAUCAAGUUAAAAGGCGCUACGGCGUCACCUAGAGAUGGAUCCGCGGUGCAUUAGUUAGUUGGUGGGGUAAAGGCUUACCAAGACGAUGAUGCAUAGCCGAGUUGAGAGACUGAUCGGCCACAUUGGGACUGAGACACGGCCCAAACUCCUACGGGAGGCUGCAGUAGGGAAUCUUCCACAAUGGGCGCAAGCCUGAUGGAGCAACGCCGCGUGUGUGAUGAAGGCUUUCGGGUCNUAAAGCACUGUUGUAUGGGAAGAAAUGCUAAAAUAGGGAAUGAUUUUAGUUUGACGGUACCAUACCAGAAAGGGACGGCUAAAUACGUGCC